CUUGUGGACUAGACAGGACAUAAGAGGGGCUCUGACCGGAAUUCUUGUUCUAAAGAUCCUGGCCUUUUCAAUUCUUUGAAUUAUCUUCCUCUUGAUUUGAUUUCUAUAAUUCUUGAUCUUACUUUUAAAUAUCCCAACUGGGUUCUUCUUUCUUUCUAUCAAAAGCAUGAUCUUUGAGGUUUUCGUAGCUGGUUUUGUUUCAAUCUUGUCUUGGUGGAUGAGUUGGGAUUUUGCGUGUCCUCUUUUUCUCGGCUGUUGUUUUGCAUUCCUGAAUUAGACUUUUGGGAUGGCUACCCGUGACAUGCUGGGUGAUCAGCAACCACAGAUUGCUCAAUGCCCUGGCUUUAUGGAUUUUUGGUUAUCAUUUGAAUGAGUAGGAGCCUUUGGGUUUCUGUAUAUCCGGGUAAUUUCACAGUUGAAGAUUGAGCAUUUCUGGGAUAUGAGUUUGUUGAUGUACAAUACAUUUGUGUUUUUUCUUGGAAUUUCACUAGCUAUUCAGCCCUAUCUAUCCUAAAUUCCUUUCAGAUGUUGGCUUAGACCAUUGCUUUCGGUAUGAAUUUGCCAGUCUUUUCGUUCUACCUUCCUGUGAAAAGUAACCCAUUCUGUGAUAGAAAUUGCAAGAAGUUAGGUACUUCAAUUUUGUAGGAGAACAUAUAGCUGCUAAAUCAGACAAUGAUGGGAUUCAGAAUGAGCAAUUAUCUUCUUUUAAUAACAAGAUUGUCUGUCAAGAAUUCAUCUGAGUUUUCCAAUACAUACAAGAAAGAAUCAAAUGACCUUGAAAACAAUCCCUGAAAGUAUGGCAACAGUCCAGAUUCGAGUUGCAAGAAUGUGCAUUGUGAAGAUGGCAGGACGUGGAACCAUAUUAUCCUUCUUCACAUAUCACCUGCCCGUGUUCAUAAAAUCAUAGCAGGAAGAACAGCAUCCUUCAAUGGUCCCCAGCAUUCCACACGGUUGUACUUCUUUGAGCUAGAGUGGAAGAAGACUCUGACAAUAGCAUCCAUUAGUUCUUGCCGCUUGCUGAAAAGAUCUGAGUCGCCAUACAGCACAGCUUCAAGUACCUGGAUGUUUACAAAAUUGAUGAACUUAGACUAAGUUACAGUCCUUCUGUCAAUUCUGAUAAGGUUUGAUAAACUAGUAACUUGACUUAUGUUUGGCUCAUUUAUAUGACGCAUUCAAGCGAAUUUGUGAUGCUUCACCACCAUAGACAAAUAAACUUACCAGUGGCAAUUCCUUGGAGAAUAUGUGGUAUCUGAACUCAGCAGCCAGGUCCGACAAGGAAUUCGGUCCACUCACAUAACAAUGAACGUUUAAGCAUAAGAUACCGUUUACUUCAGU